rnacentral:rRNA from 1 species
GACGAACGCUGGCGGCGUGCUUAACACAUGCCAGUCGAACGAAGAGCGACGGAAGCUUGCUUCUAUCAAUCUUAGUGGCGAACGGGUGAGUAACGCGUAAUCAACCUGCCCUUCAGAGGGGGACAACAGUUGGAAACGACUGCUAAUACCGCAUACGAUCUAAUCUCGGCAUCGAGGAUGGAUGAAAGGUGGCCUCUACAUGUAAGCUAUCACUGAAGGAGGGGAUUGCGUCUGAUUAGCUAGUUGGAGGGGUAACGGCCCACCAAGGCGAUGAUCAGUAGCCGGUCUGAGAGGAUGAACGGCCACAUUGGGACUGAGACACGGCCCAGACUCCUACGGGAGGCAGCAGUGGGGAAUCUUCCGCAAUGGACGAAAGUCUGACGGAGCAACGCCGCGUGAGUGAUGACGGCCUUCGGGUUGUAAAGCUCUGUUAAUCGGGACGAAAGGCCUUCUUGCGAAUAGUGAGGAGGAUUGACGGUACCGGAAGAGAAAGCCACGGCUAACUACGUG